rnacentral:rRNA from 1 species
UUCGCAAUGCCCGAAAGGGUGACGGAGCGACGCCGCGUGGACGACGAAGGCCCUCGGGUUGUAAAGUCCUGUCAGGUGGGAAGAACAGCUGGAAGGUGAAUAACCUUCAAGCCUGACGUUACCAUCAGAGGAAGCACCAGCAAACUUCGUGCCAGCAGCUGCGGUAAUACGAAGGGUGCGAGCGUUGUUCGGAAUCACUGGGCUUAAAGGGCACGUAGGCGGGGAAAUAAAUCAGAAGUGAAAGCCCGGCGCUCAACGUCGGAAUUGCUUUUGAAAAUGUUUCUCUCGAGCUCAGGAGGGGAGAGCGGAACUCUUGGUGGAGCGGUGAAAUGCGUAGAUAUCAAGGGGAACGCCGGCGGCGAAAGCGGCUCUCUGGUCUGAUACUGACGCUGAGGUGCGAAAGCUUGGGGAGCAAAAAGGAUUAGAUACCCUUGUAGUCCUAGCUGUAAACGAUGGGCACUAAGUAGAGGGGUUUU